rnacentral:snRNA from 1 species
UCCUCUGGUUNCUCUUCAGAUCGUAUAAAUCUUUCGCCUUUUACUAAAGAUUUCCGUUGUGGGAUGAAAAUUCAAGGGAGUAGAUACAGGC